UACAGAGGGAGCAAGCGUUGUUCGGAAUUACUGGGCGUAAAGGGCGCGUAGGCGGCCACCGCAAGUCGACUGUGAAAUCUCCGGGCUUAACCCGGAAAGGUCAGCCGAUACUGCGGGGCUAGAGUGCAGAAGGGGCAACUGGAAUUCUCGGUGUAGCGGUGAAAUGCGUAGAUAUCGAGAGGAACACCUGCGGCGGAGGCGGGUUGCUGGGCUGACACUGACGCUGAUGCGCGAAAGCGUGGGGAGCGAACAGG
rnacentral:rRNA from 1 species